ACGUUUUGAAGGUCAACUUGUGAAAUCAUAGUCAAGAAAGAAAUCAAGGAAAAAGGAAGAUCAUCAAUCGUGCUUGAUCUCCCAAUUGCACACAGCACACGCAGCAGCCACUGCCUCUCCUCUCUCGCAGACGCCCGCCGCCGCCGCCCCUCCCUCCGUCGCAGACACGAGCCGCGGCCCCCUCUCCUCCAUCGCAGCCGCCAGCCACCACGGCCAGCCCAUCUCCUCCAUCGCCGACGCGAGCCGCCGCCGCCGCCCCCUCCCUCCGUCGCAGCCGCCAGACGCCGCUGCUGCCCCCUCCCUCCGUCACAGCCGACAGCCAAGGUGAGUAAGACUAUAACUUCUUAAGAUAUUGGGACAGUGUUGGAUAUCAUAUAAAUUCAGACAACAAGCUGCGAGAACCUCUAUGACAGGUGCAUUUCAAGUGUGAUCCUCGCUAUUAUGUCUCAGAUUUUUAAUACUCAAAGUUUUUGGAUUGUUGUGCAGGAGGCGCUUGGUUUGAAUCGAAAGAAUCAAGAUUGUCACCGAUUAGAGUGUGCUGAACAACCAUUUGCAGUGUAAAGUCUGCCGUCCAAAGGGUUUUGGGGGCCUUGGCAUUGCUGAUCUUGCCACCCAAGGACGUACCCUUUUCUUUGGCUCCGCUGGCUGUGGUUGGCAUGGGUGGACGAGACCAAGCCUUGGCAGGGACUGAUGACUCCAUCUGACCAGGAGACGGCGGCAAUAUUCAGAGCAGUAACCCGCCUUACGGUUGGAGAUGGUAUGAAGAUUUCGCCAGUUUUGGUGCACAAGAGUCCCAAAUUUGUAUAAUUGUUGUAAUUUUGCGUUGAUACAAUAGUGAGUAGGUGAUGUAGCUAACAGACUUUGGAGGCUUCAGAUGUAUGUAAAGCUGGUAAACUUUUCGUGUUGAUGAAUUGAAAACUUUUGAAAUUUUCA